UUUCGGAAAAUUUCUAUUAUGUUAUAUGUGCAUUUGACGAAAAUGUGUGAACUAAGUCGUAUACUUACUUUUUGCCUACUUAUUUACUUUAUUUUUAAAAUAUAAUUGGUCAGUUUUUUAAACCAAAUAUCGUUCUAUGUCCUUCUUGCGGUCUCCUAGGAAAUAAGAAGUUGAUGCAUAACCAGACUGUGACUAAUUAGUUUCUGAGAAUAUGGAAUAAUGUGAUAUAAAUCCUUUCUUUCCGGCUUGGGUACCAUCUUCAAUGUUAUUAAUGGCUCCAUUUGUAAUAUAGAUACACUUCCUUGUGAGAACUCCACGUUACAAAUCCUCAUAAUAGGAUCUAAUGCAUGAUUGGGAUUUUAUAUUUCUGAGAAAUGGAAGAACUUCUGCCGAAUUGUGGUCAGACAGAUGUUGAGAAGUUAUUUCCGAACAAAUCUGACAAAUUGUAGAAGAUGGAAUCUCUUUGAAAUAAGAUGAAGUCAUUGCUACUAUAUCUGUAUUUAGUUAUUCCAUGACAAUUGCAAUCUUUCUAUGAAAACUGUGCUAAGUGCAAACUAUAUUCAUUUAAAUUUGUUGGAUUUCGUCUGCAAGUUCUUCAUUGGAAUUUUUUUGACUGUAAUUUUUUCAAAAGAAACCAUGAAGAUUACCCUUGUCAUGGUUAUAUUAAUUCAGCUUCCAAUGUAGAAACUGCCUUGUGAUUGGAGAAUAGUUAAAAACUAGAUGAUGUUUACUUUUGCAUGCUCAAUCUGACAUCAAUUGCAAACAUUUUUUAGUUAAAUCUGUUCCUAGAUUAUUGAAGGAAAGAAAGCCUACAUAUAUUGUCAAAUUUUUAUAUCCUUUUGAGUGUAAAUCUAGUUAAGUAUUUUUUGAAGAUUUGCCAUGUAUGCAUUUCUUGAUUAAAUUAAAAACAAGUUUAUUU